CUAACCUAAAUACUUUGGUGGUAAACACAAUUACCUCUUGUUCAGCAUGUGUAAAUUGGCAGUCCAUUUUUCUGUGAACAUUGCUUACAAAUGUUCUGUGAACAUUGCAUUAUAAAUGAUGUCAUUACAUUAAUAAAUUCGGUUUCAUUCUUCACUCACAAGAGAGGAGGAGGAAAAGAUUUCUUUGUGUCCCAGGCUCUGUCACUAAGACCCUUCCCAGUGUGGAUAGCAGGCUGAGUUGCUCAGAGCACCUUCAGUCCCUCAGCUGAGCGACCAGGGUCUUCAACAUUGCGGGAAUUCCCAUGAUGGCCAGCAGAGAGAGCUCGAGCACCACAGACCCGGAGGGGAGGGUUCCUCUGCCUGGGCAGUGAAGGCCAGCAGAGGACGCACCAUCAGCUUUUCUGAUCCAGGGCACCUCAGAGCAGGAAGGGCUUCUGUUGCUCCCAGAGGACUCAGGGCCUCUGCUGCUGCCUCAGGACAGAGAACAGAGCUGAGUUACCAGCAGGUUCUGCCGCCCGCCCCAGGGGAGACCUUGGGAGAUUUGCAGGAACUUGGCAUCUCCUGAGUCGCCAGAGAGAAGCUGCCUUGUUGUACUGGAUGCUGAGGAGGGGGCACUGGGUGGCUUCCCUGGGCAAGCUGAUUGCUGAGCUGCACGGCACUUGCAUUCUCUGGGUUCUUCCCGUGUUUCAUUCCUCCCCUUCCCAGACAAUAUUUGAACAAGACGUAUUUUACUCAAGGUCUCAUGGGUUGCGGGGUCCCACGACAUCACCUCAUAGAUGCAGUGGAUGGUUUGUUCCCGAUUCAGGCUUGUUUCCAGGAAGAAACCCUGACAGAAAUUCAGAAGAAUGGGAGCUGCAUUCUGUUAGGACGUGAAUACAUGAAAUGCGUGUCUCAGGACCUUCUAGAAGAAUGAGCUGGGACCCACUUUCCAAGUCCUGCUGGAACCAGAGACCGAGAAAAUAAAAAGGCCCUGGAGGACAAGUGUAGUGCAUUGAGGUCUGUGAAAGCCACAAAGGAAGCAAAAUUCAAACAGCUGAAGGAGAAAGCACAUAACCUGGAAGAAUUCUAUGAACAAAGAAAAGUGCCUACAAAAAAUGUUUAAAGUCAACAUAUGCAUAGAGUAUUAACAGAUAAAAAAGGCAACAAAUUGAACAAACAUGGGAACAGCUGCAGCAGGCAGAGCUCACCUUUAGAUACCAGAUCGCAGUUCAUGAGAAGAAUGCUCAGGACAACGAGAUCAAGACUCAGAUGUGGGACAGGGAGAUGGCAGAGCAGGGCAGGGACAUUGCCUACUUGAAAUACAGGACUGGACAGGAUGGAAGCAAAGAGGCUGCCUGAGGGAUACACGAGGCAGAAACCAAUGGCUGCAAGACCAGAGAUGUAGAACCCUCCCAGGAGAGGGUCUUUAGUAGAUCGAGAAACUGCUAAAACCUCUGUGAGUUACAGCGGCUCUGACAGUACCAAGAAUGCAGACAAGGACAAGGGCAGUCUGGAUCCUGGGGACUUCCUCUGUUAACUGGACGAUUCUGCAUGCCCUACCUUAGAGACGCUCCACCUCCUAUUAGGCAUGGACUAUUAGGCACGUCCACCUCCUGAACCCUGCUGGCCCUGGGGCCACCCAGAACCCCUCCACCUGCAACACUUGGUAAGAUGAUCUGAGCACUAGGAGGUGACUUGUAAAACACACUCACCUUAUUUUUGUUGCUGUUAGGUAUUGGGCCAAGGUGCAGAGGCGGUACCACAGACGAUUGUGAUGCAAGGGGGAUGUGUCUGCUGCCAUUACCACAUUCCUCAAGUUUCUCAGGAUCUCAUCUUUGUCAUUUCCCCCACCAUGUGUUGGUACAGGCAUCUCUUGUGGAGAAGGAAUGGGGCCAUAUGCAGAAAAGCAGACAUAGCGCUUCAGCAGAAAUGCCCUGUACACAGUCCACGUGCUGGGAUCUGUGAGGCAUGAGGCACAAUGUAACGUAUGUCCAUAUAGUUGUGUCCCCAGCCAUCCAUAGUUGUUCGAUGAGUGAUGAAUACAUCUGAAUCAGGGCUUUUAGGUUAUAAGGACUUCAAGUUAUAAAGGAUGGUUCUUCAACUUCUUCUUGGGGAUCACCUGAGGCAUGUGGGACACCCUGUGCAUGUGAUUUGGGAUCUGACUGGGGCAAAGAGUUUAAGUUGUUGGAAGUAUGAGGGGAGGGGUUUUUGUUUUUGAUCUCCAAACAGUCUACUCAAAACAGAAUAAACCUCCAUCCCUUCUAGGGCUUUUUGCAGGUCCAGAAGCAGGUGUCACACCCAAGAGUGACAUCAACACUGGCUCUGCCAAAACUGCCGAGAAGCACAAAGUAAAUGCUGUGGCCAUUUUCCAUUCUAAGUCUUUACAGACAGCCACAUCUUUCUGUACAUGACACUCUCCUGCCAUUGUCUCUGGUUUGUGUGUCGUAUGGUAUGUCUGCUGGUUUUGUUUUUUUCCCAAAUGCAAAACCUUUACCUCUGAGUCUACGGGCUUCCCUGUUUUCCACCUGGCAUCUGUUUGUGGUAACUUGAGCAGCUAUGCGUGCCUAAGGGUGGGGACCAUAGGGCUUUUCCAACGUGUUUCUGGAAUAAAUCAAGGAGGAUGGCACUCCACUUGGAAGUUUCCUACCUUGCCUCAUCCUUUGUGGAUCUCCUCAAUGUAGAAUCAUUGAUCUUUCUGUUUCUUCCUCUCCUGUUUCCUUCUAUUGAGGGUUUUACCAUGGUCAGAGAAAUCUGUGGGCAUCCUUACAAUUUGAAAAUGCGAACUGCCUUCACUCCAACUUAUAUUUUUCUAUGUGUCAUUUAGAAUGGUCUUAGACAAAAUAAAUUUCAUACCCAUCAGCAUUUUGGUAAACAUGCUGUCCAGAAUCCCUGCAAGUGUGCCCUGGGCAUAAAUACUCUGAACUACAAGAGAUGGCAUAUUUGUCAUAGAAAACAUGCACUGAAACUUAAGUUUUGAAGAGAAAAAAAUCCAAAAUUACCUGUGUGGCAAGUUCCCACCGUGUUCUUCAUUUGUGUUCACAUGAGCACAUUCUCUUGUGUCCUGUGUCACAGGUACAGCUAAAACAUGGAAACUUACACCAGACAUCAAAGUGCAUUUGUGUUAAUUUUGUUUUUUAGAAUUUCAGCUCAUUUUUCCAGAGGACAUAAUUACUGUGCAAAAUAUACUGCACUUAAGCUGAGAAGUACCUCAGAAGUAAAAUAAAUUAGCUGAACCCAACUAACAUGUAUAGGUUACCUGUGUCUCUAAGAGCAUGCUUUCCCAGGUCCUCUGCAGGCCCUCAGGAUCCCCAUCUCCCCAUGUGUCUCUGUGCCCAUGGAUAGCACUUCCAGAAAGGAGGAGACCCCAUUGUCAGGACAGAAGUAGUUUGGGCACAGGCUUAGAGGCAGAGCUUUGAGCCACGAGGGCUGUGAUUCCAUGUGUGGACACUGGCAUUGUCAUUCCUUCUCAUUCUGUAGUUCUUCACAUACACCAUAAACAGCCUCUGUGGUGGAGGGGGAUGAAGGGUGGAGGGUGAUCCUGGACACAGAUGUCUUCCUAUCUGGAAUAUGCUACUUUGUUAAUUUGGGAUUCAGUCUAUAAAUCUUCUAGGAAAAGGGCCCUUGCCGUUUCUACGUUUCCAGACACGUGGAGACGCUAGUUUAUCCCAAUCACAUACAUUCCCCACCCCAAAGCUGUAAGUGGAACCCAAAGUAUGGGUAGAGAUUUUGGUGCUGAUGCUGCCCUCUUGGAACCUGGUGGUGGGGAAGCUAGUAGAAUAUGAACACUGCUUCUUUGGCUUUCCGCUUUUUGCUGGUGUUGGUGCUCUGUUUUGUCCUAUGAACAUACCUCUCAUUUCUUUUCCGCAGGCUAUUUUGUAUGCAAGAGGGCCUGGUCCUUUCCCAGGAUCACCUUGCAGGCUGUACCCCAUGGACCACCCUUCACCACCAGUCAUGGGCUAUAGGCCACAUCCCCCUCCUCCACAAGCUCCUCCACCUACUCUAUUUGUUAAGAUGACCUGAACUGGAUGGGUGGCUGGUAAAGUAUAUUCAUCUUCUUCA